UACAGAGGUCUCAAGCGUUGUUCGGAUUCAUUGGGCGUAAAGGGUGUGUAGGUGGCUCGCUAAGUCGGGUGUGAAAUUUCGGAGCUUAACUCCGAAACUGCAUUCGAUACUGGCGUGCUUGAGGACUGGAGAGGAGACUGGAAUUCAUGGUGUAGCAGUGAAAUGCGUAGAGAUCAUGAGGAAGACCAGUGGCGAAGGCGGGUCUCUGGACAGUUCCUGACACUGAGGCACGAAGGCCAGGGGAGCAAACGGG
rnacentral:rRNA from 1 species